rnacentral:rRNA from 1 species
GCUGAUGCGUUGUUGGGUAGGGGAGCGUUCUGUAAGCCUGCGAAGGUGGCCUGUGAGGGUUGCUGGAGGUAUCAGAAGUGCGAAUGCUGACAUAAGUAACGAUAAAGCGGGUGAAAAGCCCGCUCGCCGGAAGACCAAGGGUUCCUGUCCAACGUUAAUCGGGGCAGGGUGAGUCGACCCCUAAGGCGAGGCCGAAAGGCGUAGUCGAUGGGAAACGGGUUAAUAUUCCCGUACUUGGUGUUACUGCGAAGGGGGGACGGAGAAGGCUAUGUUGGCCGGGCGACGGUUGUCCCGGUUUAAGCGUGUAGGUGUGUGUUCCAGGUAAAUCCGGUUCACUUUAACACUGAGGCGUGACGACGAGGCACUACGGUGCUGAAGCAACAAAUGCCCUGCUUCCAGGAAAAGCCUCUAAGCAUCAGGUAACAUCAAAUCGUACCCCAAACCGACACAGGUGGUCAGGUAGAGAAUACCAAGGCGCUUGAGAGAACUCGGGUGAAGGAACUAGGCAAAAUGGUGCCGUAACUUCGGGAGAAGGCACGCUGACACGUAGGUGAAGUGAUUUACUCAUGGAGCUGAAGUCAGUCGAAGAUACCAGCUGGCUGCAACUGUUUAUUAAAAACACAGCACUGUGCAAACACGAAAGUGGACGUAUACGGUGUGACGCCUGCCCGGUGCCGGAAGGUUAAUUGAUGGGGUCAGCGCAAGCGAAGCUCCUGAUCGAAGCCCCGGUAAACGGCGGCCGUAACUAUAACGGUCCUAAGGUAGCGAAAUUCCUUGUCGGGUAAGUUCCGACCUGCACGAAUGGCGUAAUGAUGGCCAGGCUGUCUCCACCCGAGACUCAGUGAAAUUGAACUCGCUGUGAAGAUGCAGUGUACCCGCGGCAAGACGGAAAGACCCCGUGAACCUUUACUAUAGCUUGACACUGAACAUUGAGCCUUGAUGUGUAGGAUAGGUGGGAGGCUUUGAAGCGUGGACGCCAGUCUGCGUGGAGCCGACCUUGAAAUACCACCCUUUAAUGUUUGAUGUUCUAACGUGGACCCGUGAUCCGGGUUGCGGACAGUGUCUGGUGGGUAGUUUGACUGGGGCGGUCUCCUCCUAAAGAGUAACGGAGGAGCACGAAGGUUGGCUAAUCCUGGUCGGACAUCAGGAGGUUAGUGCAAUGGCAUAAGCCAGCUUGACUGCGAGCGUGACGGCGCGAGCAGGUGCGAAAGCAGGUCAUAGUGAUCCGGUGGUUCUGAAUGGAAGGGCCAUCGCUCAACGGAUAAAAGGUACUCCGGGGAUAACAGGCUGAUACCGCCCAAGAGUUCAUAUCGACGGCGGUGUUUGGCACCUCGAUGUCGGCUCAUCACAUCCUGGGGCUGAAGUAGGUCCCAAGGGUAUGGCUGUUCGCCAUUUAAAGUGGUACGCGAGCUGGGUUUAGAACGUCGUGAGACAGUUCGGUCCCUAUCUGCCGUGGGCGCUGGAGAACUGAGGGGGGCUGCUCCUAGUACGAGAGGACCGGAGUGGACGCAUCACUGGUGUUCGGGUUGUCAUGCCAAUGGCACUGCCCGGUAGCUAAAUGCGGAAGAGAUAAGUGCUGAAAGCAUCUAAGCACGAAACUUGCCCCGAG